UUAAUGAUGAUAUUAUUGGUCCGUGUUUAUGAAUUUUAACUGAUUUUGACUUUAACCAUGUCUGAUAUUG